AGACAUGUUCUUUUUGUGCAUAAUUCAAUGCUGAGGUUGUAAUGGAUGGUCAAUUUUGGUGGUGGGAGAGAAUAAGUGUACUUGCAACAUAAACAGGCACCCAGCAGGUUUCUUUAGACUCCUUGCUCCAUUUUGCCUCUUUUCCCUCUAUUUUUUUUAAGCUAAAAGUGCACAUAUCAUGACUCCAUGAAAGGUACUCCAAUUCAGUGAGUUCAGUGUGGAGGUAUCUAUUCAGGUUGGGAGGUGUGGGUAUCUGUUUGACUAAUAGGUAAAAUUUAGCUUUAGAAGCCUCAAAGGGAAAUUCAGCUUUUACAAACUGCUUAAAGUGAAACUCAGCCUCCAAAACUGCAUUAGAACCCUGUAACUUGUAAAAUUCACUCAGUCAUGUCUAAUCCUGUUAGCAUUGCAAUUAAGUAACAAAAACCAAUUUUAACUGGCAGUACUUUGUGUUUGCUAUCUCUUGCUGAACUUCUUGCUUGUAUAUUGCCAUUCUGCCUUAUUCCACCAUUUAAGUGCUGUUUAAUAAAGANUGUUAAAUUUUGGAACUCUUAGUAUUUUGAGCACUGCUUUCCACUUCCCCUAUCCUAAGAAAUUCACUACAGAUCAACUUUGCUUCCAUUAGAUGUACACCUUUCAUGCUAAAGAUUCAACAUUGUGAACUGGGAGCUAAAUUCCUCAAACCAGUAUAAACCAGUUAAACCAGUUCACAUAUGAGACUGAUGAUGAUAAAACAGCAGAGGUGAUGGCAAGCUUUUAUGAAGAAUUAUAUAAAGCUCAGUGUCCAAGCAUGAGCAAUUGCAUACCACCACAUUACCCACCAAAAAGAACACCCACUUGCUUGGGAAUCCGAUGUGCAUGUGAGAAACCAUCCAAGCAACCACUGCCAAAUUCAGCCAGAUGUUGCAGUGCGUUGACCAAAACUGAAUCAAUGCUGUCCCCAGAUUUGCCAAUGAUUCUUGCAGACACUCCAGAAUAGACUGUUCUGCGUGAAUGUGGGUCUAGAAGAAAGGACGCCUCCAACCAACAUGUUUGAGAUGCAGCUGCUGUGUCUUUUCACAACCCCACAGUCACUGUGUUGCUGGGAAUUGCAAAUUGUCAGGGACACAACGCAUGUGAAGAGAUUACUAUAACAUCCCAAGAUUUUCCUCCUGGUCAGCAGAAAAAUAAACUUCAUUGGUUGUCCCCA
rnacentral:lncRNA from 1 species